CAGUAGCCGCGGUAAUACAGAGGAUGCAAGCGUUAAUCGGAAUUACUGGGCGUAAAGCGCGCGUAGGUGGUUUGUUAAGUUGGAUGUGAAAUCCCCGGGCUCAGCCUGGGAACUGCAUUCAAAACUGACUGACUAGAGUAUGGUAGAGGGUGGUGGAAUUUCCUGUGUAGCGGUGAAAUGCGUAGAUAUAGGAAGGAACACCAGUGGCGAAGGCGACCACCUGGACUAAUACUGACACUGAGGUGCGAAAGCGUGGGGAGCAAACAGGAUUAGAUACCCCAGUAGUCCCUGUCUCUUAUAC
rnacentral:rRNA from 1 species